UUUGGAGGACAGGAACCGGGACACUCACCCUCAACACGCACAGCAGCACCACCAGACAUGUCGGACUCUGAGACCGCCGCUGCCCCCGCUGAGGCCCCCGUCCCUGCUGCUUGUGCCAACAUCAAGGCUGACCUGGACAAAUGUGUGGCAGAGAAGGGAGCUGAGGGCUGCAAAGAUCUGAUGGAGGCCUUUGCUGCUUGUGUGAAGAGUGCAGCUGAGGGGACGUCAUGAGGAGUUGCCCUCCAACCUCCAAUGUCCACUGCACUGAGUCCUCCAAGUUCCCAGCAUUCCCUUCUGCACAACAGCACUGGACUGAAUGAUGAUGACCAUGGCGUGUGUUGAUUUGGGCUGAGUUUGGGAUCUGGCAGCAGUAACUACAGUUUCCUCCCCCCCGUCCCUCCCCCCGUUUUAGGCUUAUCUGGUGUCCCUCAGUCUUACCGCCAUUCCCCUUCUCCCUCUAUGGCUGACAUACAGUACUUUGACUUGUAGACAAUUCCAGAGAGCCAAGGCUGUAAUGUAAAUUGUCAACUUGAGAUGAAUACUUAUAAAUGGAAAUAAAAGUAUCAAAUAAUUGGUAUAAAAAUAA